GCAGAAAGGAUACAGGUAACAUCAUUGGGGUUCCGAAGCUUGGCCCAAGACCUGGCCUUCCUGAGGGAGAUUGCAUCCCUGCCGUGGGGACCUCACUGCUCCGGGUUUGUGAAUGCGGGAACCAACUGGAGAAGGUGGCAGUGAGGUCACAGAACGCGACCUUGCAUCAUAGCCCCCAGGCGACGCCUGGGGCAGUAGGGGCUGUUGCCCACAGAGCUGUCGACCCCAAAGACUGAGGAGGGAUGGGGCACCUGCUGGCUGAGACCGUCCACAGUUGACCUGCCCAGAGUAAAGCUUCCCUUGCACAGGAGGAAUGAAGCAGCAUCCCUUCACUUCUUCUAGAGUCUGAAGACAUCCGUCAUCGUCACGCUGAAGCAUGUUGUCAGAGGCAUUGAAGCCGGGGUUGUGCUGGUUCCCGUACGGAAGCCCCUUGAUCCUUCUUACCCUUCCCGGUCGGCUUCUCUUCCUGCUCAAGCUACUCACACCUGAGACCGCUCCCCUCUUCUCACCCUAGGCUUCAAGGAUCUACCCUCCCUCUUGCCAUCCUGCCCACUUAGCCAUCUUCCUCUUUUAGACCCAGGCCCCAGCGCUUGUUAAAUCAGCCCCCAUCAGCACUUCCUGUUCAAUCCCACCUAGGGAGCCCUGCUCCCCCCCAAACCCUGUAGCUCCCUUCCUGUAACGCGCAGGAGGCUGGAGGCAGUUUUCCUGAGACCGUUACUCUUAACCCUC